AUUGAACGCUGGCGGCAGGCCUAACACAUGCAAGUCGAGCGGAUGAAGGGAGCUUGCUCCUGGAUUCAGCGGCGGACGGGUGAGUAAUGCCUAGGAAUCUGCCUGGUAGUGGGGGAUAACGUCCGGAAACGGGCGCUAAUACCGCAUACGUCCUGAGGGAGAAAGUGGGGGAUCUUCGGACCUCACGCUAUCAGAUGAGCCUAGGUCGGAUUAGCUAGUUGGUGGGGUAAAGGCCUACCAAGGCGACGAUCCGUAACUGGUCUGAGAGGAUGAUCAGUCACACUGGAACUGAGACACGGUCCAGACUCCUACGGGAGGCAGCAGUGGGGAAUUGUGGACAAUGGGCGAAAGCCUGAUCCAGCCAUGCCGCGUGUGUGAAGAAGGUCUUCGGAUUUUAAAGCACUUUAAGUUGGGAGGAAGGGCAGUAAGUUAAUACCUUGCUGUUUUGACGUUACCAACAGAAUAAGCACCGGCUAACUUCGUG
rnacentral:rRNA from 1 species